GAAGUGCAGGCGGCUGAGUGGAAAUAAUUCUGUUCAAACUGGUGUCAAUCACAGUUGGCUGUGGUAGUAAUGCUGCACAAUGAUAAAACAUUUGUCCCUUGUUUUGAAAGUUGUUUUUUUUUUUUUUUUAAUUGUGUCAUUCAAACAUUGGGGUUUCAUUCUGAAAAGUGAAGCAAACAUUAAAAAGUCAUUUUAUGAAUUAGCAUUACCUUGAUUUGAGUGUGAUAAAUUCUACGUCCUUCUGGGAGACAGUGGUCGUUGACAUCUUGAUUAGAGGACGCUGUUGGUGUCAGUGCUUUUUCUUUAUCCUAUGUUGUGUUUAAAGCCAUGUUUUUCCUAAACUGCACUUCCUUCCAUUGUUGGUUUCCAUUUCCUACUGAAGGUAGAGUUUUCCAUGAGUGUCUCCUUCCAAAUGCCUGUGGGGGAACUGAAACGUCUGUGUGACAUGCAGGCAACGUACAAGAGACAGAACAUCCGACACACAGACAGAGAAAGCAAAGUGUAAAUAGAGCAAAAAAGUACCUGCUGGAGUAUGAAUGAUUAAUACAAACAAAUAAAGAAUGAAUGAAACCCA